UUUCGAAUUUUCAGUUUAAUGAUUUUCCAGAUUAUUUAUUUCCAGUUUAUUUAUUUAUUUUCUGAAUUUUCAGUUUAUUUAUUUUCUGAAUUUCAAGUUUAUUUAUUUAUUUAUUUUUGUAUUUUCAGUUUAUUUAUUUCCAGUUUGUUUAUUUAUUUAUUUAUUUUCAGUUUAUUUAUUUAUUUAUUUUCGAAUUUUCAGUUUAUUUAUUUUCUGAAAAAUUUAUUUCCAGUUUAUUUAUUUAUUUAUUUUCUGAAUUUUCAGUUUAUUUAUUUAUUUAUUUUCUGAAUUUUCAGUUUAUUUAUUUAUUUAUUUAUUUUCUUGAAUUUCAAGUUUAUUUAUUUAUUUAUUUAUUUUUGUUAUUUAUUUAUUUAUUUCCUAGUUUAUUUUAUUUAUUUUCUUCAAUUUUCAGUUUAUUUAUUUAUUUAUUUUCGAAUUUCCAAUUUAUUUAUUUUCCAUUUUUUAUGUAUUUAUUUAUUUAUUUAUUUUCCAUGUUUUCUCAUUUAAAUGCUUUCAUUUAAUUCACCUAGUAAAAUAAUGCCAAAUAGUUAGUGCAAGAUUAGUAAAAGUAACCACAAUACAUUAACACUACCCUUUUUAGUCUUUUACACCACCUUUACACCACCUUUUUCAGCUUUCUUAAAACCAGUGCCAGCACCCAAAUGGGGCAGUUUUUCGUGGACGGAGGGAGUACUUCCUUUAAGAUCCCGAAAUUUUUUUCUAUUCAAACGUCAUCUAUUUUUGACGACACUAUAAAUAUACGAGGGGUCCAAUAAUAAAUUAUUAUUUUAAAUAUUAGUUAUAAAUAGACUCAUNGAGCUGACGGUGCGGCAAUAAUGGAGGGCGCGGAAAAUUGGGUCUUGAGCCGAAAAACGAGUCCCCAUUGUGGAUGCUCUUACUCAACAAAUGUAGGGGAUCGAGUCAUAGCUUAUUCAUUCAUUUUUUAUAUGAAUGAGUCGAUUUGUGAAUGAGUCGAUCAAUGUAGGUUACUAACUCAUAAGUGGUUCACUCUUUAAAUAAGUAAGCUACUUAAUGAACGAACACGUGGAUGCCCUAAGUAAAUUAAGAACACCAAUAUAUUUAUAUUUUAAGUGAAUCAUGAAAAAGAAAGAUCGGAAGAUAAUCUCGUGAAAUGACGACUAUAUCUCUUAGAAACUACUCCCUCUGUCCACGAAAAAGUGCCCUACUUACCCCUUUUUUUUUGUCCACGAAAAAGUGCCCUGUUUACCUUUUUGUACAUUCAUACCCUUUACUUUUCAAUUUAUUUACAACUUAUGUUAUUAAUAAAUCCACACUUUUAUUUAAUCUAUGCAAUUAACCCACACAAUUAACUCACUAAUUAAAAGUUUAUUUAUUUAUUUUCUGUUUAUUUAAUCUAUGCAAUUAACCCACACAAUUUAUUUAUUUAUUUUCAGUUUAUUUAUUUAUUUAUUUUCUGAAUUUCAAGUUUAUUUAUUUAUUUAUUUUUGAAUUUUCAGUUUAUUUAUUUCCAGUUUAUUUACUUAUUUAUUUAUUUAUUUUCC
rnacentral:lncRNA from 1 species